AAUCUACUCCUUCCGUUCGGAAUUACUUAUCGUAGAAAUGGAUGUAUCUAGACGUAUUUUAGUUUUAGAUACAUCCAUUUCUGAGACAAGUAAUUCCGAACGGAGGGAGUACCAA
rnacentral:pre_miRNA from 1 species